UGUUAGGUUUCCAGGUAAUAUUAUCGUAAUGCCUCUGUAUCUCUGUGCAAUGCUGCAGUCACAUUUUUUAUAGUUCUACCUAACGUUACUGUCACUUUCCAACAGGAGUGAUGAGAAGGAGUUACUCUUCUGGACUAUCCUGAUCAGUUGUCUGGUGAAGAAUGGGCCAAGCUCACAGCAAUGAGGCAUGAUGACAGAACACCUGCUCUGUGUCUCAGAGCAGCAACACUGAGUGCUGAGGAACUACGUAACCACAGAGUUCCUGUUUACUGUAUUUCUUAAGGAUAAAGUUUUCUGCGGAUAGCAUGUGAUCGUGUAACUAAAGACUCAUACAGGGAGUUCCAGGAGAAAGAAGAUCAGAAGAGAGUAAAACCAGAGCACGGUAGGUCAUUAGGAGGGUCUCUUACCUUUUGAACAUCUGAAUUAGAAAUUUAGGAAUCAUCUUUUUAUUUAUUUCUUCUGUAUGAAAUAAUCCCAUAUUUUCAUUCAUAUGGUUUGUGCCAUAUGUGCAUAUAGAAGACAUAAAUCUUUAUGUUUCAGCAGAAAUGCAUGAUAUAUGCAUGUGUAAGUAACAUUAGAAGAACUUUCCCCAGAGCCCACUUUAUAUCCACUAACACUGCUGCCUCUGCCUUCUUCCUGGCUUUGCUUCCCUGUUUGUGGGUUAUCUGAAGAUUUAUUUUCAAAAGUGAACUCAUAUGGUGAAUGCAAGUGGAACAUUAUAUCUGCUUUGAAAGGCAUAUACUGCUCUUGAUAACAUUGUAUAUCAUGAUAUACUGUUCCUAGCUAAAAUACUGCUUCUACUUCAGCCUACAAAAGGGCUGAAAUAAAAACAAAUCUAAGUAAUGUAUUGAAGAAUAGUUCUGAUGAAAAUGUAUUUUUGUUGGCUGUUUAAGCAAUAACAUUAGGAAUGAUAGUUGUAAACUGAGGAAGUUUUAUCCUCAAUAUAUUUGUCUUAAUAAAAAGUAUCUUAUUGUCUUCAGGUUGGGCAUGUGAGGUUCAGUUUUAAUUCCUAAAGAUGUCUCCAGCUCUAAUUAGGUUUACUAACAACAAGGUAAAAAUGACCUGUCAUGGAAGGUUCAUUGUAUUUUGA